GUAGGGUCUGGGGCCUGGUCUGACUUGGCCUGGGACUGGGAAGAGUUGCAAGUAGCAGCAAUAGCAACCUAAAUAUUUUAAUGCCCCGGCCACAUUGAUGGUUCGCUUUUUGCUGAUGUUGCCUGCCCUGCCUCUACUCUGCUCUGCGGCAAUUAACAUUUUUUGCGUGCACAAAUAUUUUUCGACUUGAGAGAAAGAAACCCAGUAGCAGAUGCACAUGAAAUCCCGCCACAGAAGCUGCUUCUGUUGCAUGAAAC
rnacentral:lncRNA from 1 species